UCAAUGAUAUUUGCCACAGCUGUGGAAGGUGGAGGAGUGUUGCAGUGCACUUCAUUUGCACUUUAACUGACUUGUGAUGAGCAGCCUGCGGUCUGGUUUAUGGACUUAAUAUGUUUGUUUUUUUAACCCUAAUGUCCUAUCAAAUCUGACUACCGGAGAGCAGAUAUGUCACGUGGGGGUCGCAUCUUUAUGCGGGAUCGUUCCUCCAAUGCAACACGGACAACUCCGGGCGAAGGCGUAAAGAAUGUGCCAUCCUACGGCCAUCCCUGGACUAAAUAUGGAUUUGGGAUUCUUGGUCUGAGUAAACACCUGCAGCACGGACCCCUCUCGCCAGAGACACGCCCGGGUUUCUUUGCAUCAACAUCUGGCUGUUGGUGAAUUAUUAUGACGCAUCAUGCAGCGAUGGAGGCCACCUACAAUCAGCCGGAGCAGCGGUGGACCUUCACCUUAGACUUUGCGUUGGGUCGCACGUUACUGCAUGGAUCGUUCUCCCAAGAUGCAGACGGAACUCCGGAGGCAAAGUGCGGUCACAAAAACCGCAGCAUUGGAGUGGAGGUGCAUUAAAGCAAAUCAGCAUCUGAGGAGUGAGGAGAAGGAAAAAUAACACAUUAUUUUGUCAGACUCGCUUUUCAUCUCCCUCCAAAGUGGCCAAAAGGUUCACUUGUGUCCCGCAAACAAUUUUCUCCCACUUAACGGGGUGCCACUUCCUCUCUGUUCUUCUGUCCUGUUCCUGCCGCUCUCUGUCUCCAAAGAAAAAAAAAGAAAAAAAGAAGAAGCAGAGUGACAGCCAUUUAUUUGAGCAUCGGACUCAAUUUAUGACUGCGGCCCGCUUUGCAUUCACGCUGGACCGUGCGCCUUAAAGGCUUUGUGACAAGGCCAUGAAUACGCUUAGUGGCUCCUCACUCCUUGUUUCUCUGCGCUUGGAUGGACACUGAUACUGAUAUUAAAUGAAUUCUGCAAAGUGUCACUCACCAGACUCAUGCUGCGACACGAGAUGCUUCAGCCUUCUGACAUGUUAAUGUGUGUGACCAAAUUCUCACUGGGAGGGACUGAUUUAUUUGUCGGUUUAUUGAUGACUUGUUUUAUCGUUUAUAAAAUAUA